UACGGGGGGGGCAAGCGUUGUUCGGAAUUACUGGGCGUAAAGGGCGCGUAGGUGGCCUUCUAAGUCGAACGUGAAAUCCCUCGGCUCAACCGAGGAACUGCGUCCGAUACUGGUGGGCUUGAAUCCGGGAGAGGGAUGUGGAAUUCCAGGUGUAGCGGUGAAAUGCGUAGAUAUCUGGAGGAACACCGGUGGCGAAGGCGACCAACUGGUCCGACAUUGACACUGAGGCACGAAAGCGUGGGUAGCAAACAGG
rnacentral:rRNA from 1 species